CUGACGAACAGGUACACCCGUUGUGAGACGGGGUCGCAAAGCUUCGGGUCUUGAUUUUUUAUUAAGAUAGCCGGGUUGCCGAA
rfam:Shewanella sp. W3-18-1, complete genome.